CUGCUAACGCGGGGGUCCUGCGUAGCGCGGAGGUUGGAGGUCCGUGUUGCGUGGGUGAGAAAUACCCUUUGAACCUGAUCUGGAUAAUGCCAGCGCAGGGAAGCGUACGGAUUUCGCAC
rnacentral:ncRNA from 2 species